rnacentral:rRNA from 1 species
UGGCGGCGUGCCUAACACAUGCAAGUCGAGCGAGGAGAUUCCUCGGGAUGAUCCUAGCGGCGGACGGGUGAGUAACACGUGGGCAACCUGCCUCAUAGAGAGGAAUAGCCUUCCGAAAGGGAGAUUAAUACCUCAUAACAUUGCAGUUUCGCAUGGAACAGCAAUUAAAGGAGUAAUCCGCUAUGAGAUGGGCCCGCGGCGCAUUAGCUAGUUGGUGAGGUAACGGCUCACCAAGGCGACGAUGCGUAGCCGACCUGAGAGGGUGAUCGGCCACAUUGGGACUGAGACACGGCCCAGACUCCUACGGGAGGCAGCAGUGGGGAAUAUUGCACAAUGGGGGAAACCCUGAUGCAGCAACGCCGCGUGAGUGAUGACGGCCUUCGGGUUGUAAAGCUCUGUCUUCAGGGACGAUAAUGACGGUACCUGAGGAGGAAGCCACGGCUAACUACGUGCCAGCCGCCGC